UGGGGAAUAUUGGACAAUGGGCGCAAGCCUGAUCCAGCCAUGCCGCGUGAGUGAUGAAGGCCUUAGGGUUGUAAAGCUCUUUUGGCGGGGACGAUAAUGACGGUACCCGCAGAAUAAGUCCCGGCUAACUUCGUGCCAGCAGCCGCGGUAAUACGAAGGGGACUAGCGUUGUUCGGAAUCACUGGGCGUAAAGCGCACGUAGGCGGAUAUGUCAGUCAGGGGUGAAAUCCCGGGGCGCAACCUCGGAACUGCCUUUGAUACAGCAUGUCUUGAGUCCGAUAGAGGUGGGUGGAAUUCCUAGUGUAGAGGUGAAAUUCGUAGAUAUUAGGAAGAACACCGGUGGCGAAGGCGGCCCACUGGAUCGGUACUGACGCUGAGGUGCGAAAGCGUGGGGAGCAAACA
rnacentral:rRNA from 1 species